CGGCAGAGGUUACUGCUAUCGAGGUUCGACUAAGCCAUGCGAGUCGAAUGUAGCAAUACAUGGCGAACUGCUCAGUAACACGUGGACAACCUGCCCUUAGGUUGGGUAUAAACCCGGGAAACUGGGUAUAAUACCCGAUAGGUCUCGAUUGCUGGAAUGCAUCGAGAUUUAAAGCUCCGGCGCCUAAGGAUGGGUCUGCGGCCUAUCAGGUAGUAGUGGGUGUAGCGUACCUACUAGCCUACGACGGGUACGGGUUGUGAGAGCAAGAGCCCGGAGAUGGAUUCUGAGACACGAAUCCAGGCCCUACGGGGUGCAGCAGGCGCGAAAACUUUACAAUGCUGGCAACAGCGAUAAAGGAACCUCGAGUGCCAGGUUACAAAUCUGGCUGUCGAGAUGCCUAAAAAGCAUUUCAUAGCAAGGGCCGGGCAAGACCGGUGCCAGCCGCCGCGGUAACACCGGCGGCUCGAGUGGUAACCGUUAUUAUUGGGUCUAAAGGGUCUGUAGCCGGCCGGAUAAGUCUCUUGAGAAAUCUGGCAGCUUAACUGUCAGGCUUUCAGGAGAUACUGUCUGGCUCGAGGCCGGGAGAGGUGAGAGGUACUUCAGGGGUAGGGGUGAAAUCUUGUAAUCCUUGAAGGACCACCAGUGGCGAAGGCGUCUCACCAGAACGGACCUGACGGCAAGGGACGAAAGCUAGGGGCACGAACCGGAUUAGAUACCCGGGUAGUCCUAGCCGUAAACGAUACUCGCUAGGUGUCGGCCACGGUGCGACCGUUGUCGGUGCCGUAGGGAAGCCGUGAAGCGAGCCACCUGGGAAGUACGGCCGCAAGGCUGAAACUUAA
rnacentral:rRNA from 1 species